AUGGGAACGCGAAGAACCUUACCUAGACUUGACAUCUCCUGAAUAGUGUAGAGAUACAUGAAGCCCUUCGGGGCAGGAAGACAGGUGGUGCAUGGUUGUCGUCAGCUCGUGUCGUGAGAUGUUGGGUUAAGUCCCGCAACGAGCGCAACCCUUAUUACUAGUUGCUACCAUUAAGUUGAGCACUCUAGUGAGACUGCCCGGGUUAACCGGGAGGAAGGCGGGGAUGACGUCAAAUCAUCAUGCCCCUUAUGUCUAGGGCAACACACGUGCUACAAUGGUGAGUACAGAUAGAUGCGAUACCGCAAGGUGGAGCCAAACUCUAAAACUCAUCCCAGUUCGGAUUGUAGGCUGCAACUCGCCUACAUGAAGUUGGAGUUGCUAGUAAUCGCGAAAUCAGAAUGUCGCGGUGAAUACGUUCCCGGGUCUUGUACACACCGAUCGG
rnacentral:rRNA from 1 species